GGGCGUUAGUUCUCCGCCAGCGAUCUUGGCUUCAUCUCGUACCAAGGGCGUAGUUCGAUCUGCAAUAUGUGAAGGAAAAAGCACACGGGUAAAAUGGAAAAGCUGCUGGUUCCAGCGUGUGUCCUCGUUGGUAAAGAGAGAGAGAGGAAAACCCUCUUGUAAGGUGUACGAUUUCUCGAAUCCAACACUUAUCCGUAGUCGUAACUAUUCGUCAGCACGUCAGCAGAAGGGGUGCGAUUUUCUAACAUCGCAUAUAAAAGGCUUAGCCGUCAAAGUUUGGGCCGACGUUCAAUACCAGGAACUGUUUUUCUGAAAGUUAAUGGAAAUUGCAAGAAUUCGAUAAGAACUUCACGUAACGUUUGUAACACCUGACGAUAAUCUUUUAUUCCUACAAAUAAAGUAACGAUGUUAAGCUUCUUUUGGGGUUUCGGGGGAACAAUUUUUUACUGGAACGACACAUAUCAUAUACAAUAUAGCAAACCUAGUAGAGAAGUGCAACAUUUUAAAUUAGAUUUGGAGCAGUCAGCAUUGUUCAAAACAGCAACUCCAGGAAUUACUGUCAGAAAUAAAUCCUGGAUUUGAGUGUCACCAUACAAUUUACUCUUUGGUUUUGAAACGCUCUAAUAGAAGAACUUAACACUUUAGACUUAAUACUUUCACUUAGCUUAGAAUGUAAUAUUUCUCACGCUUAGAUGACUCCUAUUUUUUCUUAGUUCCCAAGCCCUCGCACUGAUGGACUGGACUUCGACUUAACUUGGCUAAUCUCUUGUGAACUCCUGUCUUGAAUCAUUGGAUACCCUUUUUAUACUAAUUUAUCCUGCAGUUUAAAUGGGACCGAAAAUCCGAUCUCCUUUCGAUUCCGGUUACUAUUAUUCCCUGACCUUUGCUAUCGUAAAAUAAUAACGUACGUGAUUUUGGGAUAUCAUAUUUGACCAGCUUCGCAUUUGCAUUAAAUCUUAUAAAUUUUGCUUAUUAUACGUAAAGGUUCUCUAACUAAGAUAAUAUGUAAUUUGGGCGUAUAACCAUCCCCCCACUCAAGGGCACUCACUUUACGAAACUGGUAGGUAUAGGUUUGGCUAAAAUGUGAUAAUAGCCAUAAAUAUUAAUAAAUAAUUAGGAAUAAUAAAAAUUGGAGCAUAAGAUAUCCUUUAAGGUAACUUAGUUGUGAAAAGUGAUAAGA